CGGACCGGCCCACCGGGAAUUCUCCCGGUCCUCCCGAUUAGCCAAUCCGGGCCUGUACUGAAGCUAAGCAGGGCUGAGCCUGGUCAGUACCUGGAUGGGAGACUACAUGGGAAAAUUAGGUUGCUGUUUCAA
rnacentral:rRNA from 1 species